ACUAAAAUUAACAGAGAACAACACAAGAGAUUUAUACUGGUUCACCCAAACACGGGCUAGUCCAGUCCCAACCAACUGCCGGAAUUCACUCGCCUAAAGGUAAUGGCAAAACCUUAGAGUAUCAAGGAAACUCUUAAGAACCUCUCUAAGCUUUAAGGCUAAUUCGCUUAGGAACCAGUCUUUUACGGGUAGACUCACACCUUAGAGUAUCAAGGGCACUCUUAAAAACCUCUAACUUUUACGGGUAAGUUAGUACCUUAGAGUAUCAAGGAACUCUUAAAAACCUCUCUAAGCUUUAAGGCUACUUCGCUUAGGAACCAGUCUUUUACGGGUAGACUCACACCUUAGAGUAUCAAGGGCACUCUUAAGAACCUCUAACUUUUACGGGUAAGUUAGUACCUUAGAGUAUCAAGGAACUCUUAAAAACCUCUCUAAGCUUUAAGGCUACUUCGCUUAGGAACCAGUCUUUUACGGGUAGACUCACACCUUAGAGUAUCAAGGGCACUCUUAAGAACCUCUAACUUUUACGGGUAAGUUAGUACCUUAGAGUAUCAAGGAACUCUUAAAACCCUCUGAAAUCUUUAAAGGUAGACUCAACCUAAGAGUUUUCCCGGAAACUCUAUAAAACCAAACUAGAGCUUUAUGGUUGAGCUCACAAACCCUCUCUCACACUUUGGUACUAUUGAGACAACCCUCUCAACCAAAGUGGACACACACAAGAGGUGAUUAGAGGAGUGGAAUAUUAAAGCAAACAACACUUCUUACUUGUAAAGAUGAAUAAAAAGAUUAGAAGAAGAAGUUGGAGAGCUUUUGAAGCUUUGGAAAGCUAGGACACUUGAGCACUUGAAAGCUUGGAGGCAAAAACGUGUGGGCAAGUGUGGAGUGAAAGCUCUUGAAUUUGUUUGUAGUGUGGUGAGUGAAAAUGAGGGGAUUACCCUUCUAUUUAUAGCCUUGGCCACUCAAUGUCCACCCUUGGAUCUUCAAUGGAUGGCUCCUUGAUUUCUCACAUAAAUCCAAGCUUUGUCUUUGAUCUUAUCUUGAAUAGUGUUUUUCUUGGAUAGAGUUUGUUGGAGAAUCUUAUCUUUGUAUAAAUUCAAACUUGAAUAGUGUUUUGUCCCAUUGGAAUAUUAU
rnacentral:lncRNA from 1 species